rnacentral:Y_RNA from 1 species
GGCUGGUCUGAAGGCAGUGAGUUAUCUCAACUGAUUGCUCACAGUCAGUUACAGAUCGAAAUCCUUCUUCUACUCUUUCCCCCUUCUCACUACUGUACUUGAAUAGCCUUAU